rnacentral:tRNA from 1 species
AGGUUGAAACCAAAUUGAAUAGGUAUUUAGCUGUUAACUAAAAUUUUACGGGAUAGAGGCCGUCAAUCUAGU